rnacentral:misc_RNA from 1 species
GAAAUGCGAUAAGUAGUGUGAAUUGCAGAAUUCAGUGAAUCAUCGAAUCUUUGAACGCACAUUGCGCCCUUUGGUAUUCCAAAGGGCAUGCCUGUUCGAGCGUCAUUUGUACCCUCAAGCUUUGCUUGGUGUUGGGCGUCUUGUCUCUAGCUUUGCUGGAGACUCGCCUUAAAGUAAUUGGCAGCCGGCCUACUGGUUUCGGAGCGUAGCACAAGUCGCACUCUCUAUCAGCAAAGGUCUAGCAUCCAUUAAGCCUUUUUUCAACUUUUGACCUCGGAUCAGGUAGGGAUACCCGCUGAACUUAAGC